UCAUGCAUGAUUAUUCAAUAAUUAGGCAUUAGUUAUUUGUUUAGUUUAUAGAAAUGAAGUGAAGUUUAAUUGCUUAUAGUGAUUGCUUAUAGUCUUUUACAUACUUGAAUUAUGUUAUAUAAUUGACUAUGUUUUCUAUAUUGUUCUUUUUAAGGGGAAGAGAAUUUCAGUCCCUUGAAGAAUAAGAUUACACAAGAGGCUCUAGCACCAAGGCGGACAUUCUACGAUGAUUUAGUCGCUACCGAGGCGGUUGGGAUAUUGCGAAUCGCCAUUAUUGGAUUAAAAGCAGUAAUUUCAAAGAAACUGAUGGAGAACCAGAUUUUAAUGAAUAAGGCCCAUGUAAUUAUCAGUUAGCUAUAUAGAAGGUUUGGACCUGUUUGAAUUGAAGUUGAUUAGUCUGAAAUUUGUACAUCUAUCAUCCGAUGAAUAAGGACCAAGUUUUUUUUUGUACUUUGUAUUAUUUUUUCUUUUCUUUUUUAUAGUGCUAUAAGUAUUUUUUUUUCUUUUCUCAUUUUAUUUGCAUCACGAAACAAAUUUGUACAAUGACUAUUGAUUAAUGAAAGAGGUUAUAAAAAUUU